rnacentral:lncRNA from 1 species
CGCCGCUCACGGCAUGACGAUCUGCCUCAGCUUUUCGAUGAACGAAAGUGCCGAUGUUAGCUUUGGCCAAGGAUCAAAUGCACGUGAGCAACACACUCACAAAGCAACAAGCACACACACUAACUCUCUGGAGAUAAAUACACAGAAGUACACACACAAGUUUCUCUCGGCAACGAAUGCCUAUACUCUUCUUUAUCUGUGACUCACACA